rnacentral:rRNA from 1 species
UACGGAGGGUGCAAGCGUUAUCCGGAUUCACUGGGUUUAAAGGGUGCGUAGGCGGCCAGGUAAGUCUGCUGUGAAAUCCCGCAGCUCAACUGCGGAACUGCAUUGGAAACUAUCUGGCUAGAGGAAUGGAGGGGAGACUGGAAUUCUCGGUGUAGCAGUGAAAUGCGUAGAUAUCGAGAGGAACACCAGUGGCGAAGGCGAGUCUCUGGACAUUUCCUGACGCUGAGGCACGAAAGCCAGGGGAGCAAACGGG